AUUGAACGCUGGCGGCAGGCCUAACACAUGCAAGUCGAGCGAGCGGCGGACGGGUGAGUCAUGCCUGGUAAUUGCCAAGUCGAGGGGGAUAACAGUUGGAUACGACUGCUAAUCCCGCAUACGAUUGUCUUGCCCAGGUGGUAUUCGCUAGUUGGUGAGGUAAUGUCUCACCAAGGCGACGGUCCCUAGCUGGUCUGAGAGGAUGAUUAGCGAGACUGGAACGGAGGAACAGUCCAGACGCCGACGGGAGGCAGCAGUGGGGAAUAUUGCACAAUGGGGGAAACCCUGAUGCAGCCAUGCCGCGUGUGGGAAGAAGGCCUUAGGGUUGUAAAGCACUUUCAGCGAGGAGGCGGUACUCGCAGAAGAAGCACCGGCUAACUCCGUGCCAGCAGCCGCGGUAAUUC
rnacentral:rRNA from 1 species